CCGCGUCGACGUAGAACGCUGAAGAGAGGAGCUUGCUCUUCUUGGAUGAGUUGCGAACGGGUGAGUAACGCGUAGGUAACCUGCCUUGUAGCGGGGGAUAACUAUUGGAAACGAUAGCUAAUACCGCAUAACAAUGGAUGACACAUGUCAUUUAUUUGAAAGGGGCAAUUGCUCCACUACAAGAUGGACCUGCGUUGUAUUAGCUAGUAGGUGAGGUAAUGGCUCACCUAGGCGACGAUACAUAGCCGACCUGAGAGGGUGAUCGGCCACACUGGGACUGAGACACGGCCCAGACUCCUACGGGGGGCAGCAGUGGGGAAUUUCCGCAAUGGGCGAAAGCCUGACGGAGCAAGACCGCGUGGGGGAANAAGGCUCUUGGGUUGUAAACCCCUUUUCUCUGGGAAGAAAGUUGUGAAAGCAACCUGACGGUACCAGAGGAAUCAGCAUCGGCUAACUCCGUGCCAGCAGCCGCGGCAAGACGGAGGAUGCAAGCGUUAUCCGGAAUGAUUGGGCGUAAAGCGUCCGCAGGUGCCG
rnacentral:rRNA from 1 species